AGAAUGAACGUUGGCGGCGUGGAUUAGGCAUGCAAGUCGAACGAAUCCCCGGUGGGGGUAACUCUGCCGGGGGGAAGUGGCGAAAGGGGCAGUAAGGCGUGGACAACCUGCCCGGGGGACGGGGAUAGCCCUCCUAACGGAGGGGUAAUACCCGGCGACCUGAGUGCGAGGCAUCUCGCGUUCAGCAAAGGAGUUUCGCCCCCGGAGGGGUUCAUGUGGUAUUAGCUUGUUGGCGGGGUAACGGCCCACCAAGGCUCAGAUGCCUAGCAGGUGUGAGAGCACGACCUGCGCCACUGGCACUGUGACACUGGCCAGACUCCUACGGGAGGCUGCAGUCGAGGAUCUUCGGCAAUGGGCGCAAGCCUGACCGAGCGACGCCGCGUGUGCGAUGAAGGCCUUCGGGUUGUAACCCCUUUCAGUAGGACGAAGCGCAAGUGACGGUACCUACAGAAGAAGCACCGGCCAACUACGUGCCAGCAGCCGC
rnacentral:rRNA from 1 species